AAAUUAUUUUUCUUUUCUCGCUCCCGAGCAAGAAAAUGGAAACGAAACUCGCGGGAAUCUAUUUAUAUGAGAGAAACUGUGUGACUCGUUCAACGGGCAGGCGUCUCUACCAUUUUUUCAGUUUUUCUUUUUUGUUUUCUUUCUAUCUGAAAGGAAAAGGAAAGGAAGAAAGUUGACGAAGGGGAAAAAAAAUUUUGAAAUAGAAGAGUUUACUUAUGUGGGUUUCUGAUAUUUUAUUGUAAGACGUCGGGGAAUGUGACAGAAAAGAUAAAAUUCAUUGGCUUGGAGUUUCCGUUUCUCUCUGUUUUUGUCAUUUAUUUUGUGGGUUUAUGACAGUUUUUGAAUUCAUAAGGUGUUUCUUGACACGAUUUAUGAUUCCUUAAUUGAUUGUAGGGGGCUCCCUUUAAUUCUUCUUGGGUCUGGGAGAAUUCUACUGGAGUCAGCAGUUCCUUGGAAGGUGGUCUGGACCCAGUCAAAAAAGAAUUUGUUCGUGUUCAGUCUUCCAGGUCCUGGAUUUUUUUAAGUUGCUGUUGGAUUUUGGAGCUUGACAGAGAUUUGCUUCCCUUCUGAGGGUAGCGGUAUUAGGAAUUUUUCUUUUGUUCCUUUCUUCAUUUGAAGCCUUCAAUGGAGCAAUUCCGGCAGAUAGGGGAAGUAUUGGGAAGUUUGAAGGCUUUGAUGGUAUUGCAGGAUGAUAUUCAGAUCAAUCAGAGACAGUGUUGUUUGCUGCUUAAUAUCUUCACUGUAGCUUUUAACACAAUUGCAGAGGAGAUCAAGCAGAACCUGAAAUUGGAAGAAAAGAACACCAAGUGGAAACCCCUCGAAGAGCCUCUAAGAGAGCUCCAUAGGGUCUUCAAGGAUGGGGAAUUCUACGUUAGGCGUUGCUUGGAUAACAAAGAUUGGUGGGCCAAAGUUGUUAGCCUCCAUCAAAACAAGGAUUCCAUUGAGUUUCACAUCUACAAUUUGCUUAGCAACUUUCCAGCUGUUAUAGAAGCUAUUGAGACUGCUGGAGAAAUCUCAGGACUUGACCAAGAGGAGAUGCAGAAGAAGAGGGUUAUGCUUGUGAAAAAGUAUGAUCGAAGUUGGAAUGAUCCCAAACUUUUCCAAUGGAGAUUUGGGAAGCAGUAUUUGGUGUCCCGAGAGAUUUGUAGUCAAUUUGAGAGUGCAAUGAGAGAAGAUGGAUGGCUUCUUGUUGAAGCAAUCAAGCAAAAGAUAAAGGCAGGAUCACUCACAAAGAGUGAGCAGCGACUUGGGGAUGUAUUGCUCAAGAAGUUAAAUGGACAACUGCUAGUUAAUAGAAAACUUCCUCCAAGUUCAAUUUUGUUAGGAUCAGAAGAUUACCAAGUGAGGCGGCGAUUAGGUGGAGGUAGCCAGUACAAGGAAAUUCAGUGGCUAGGAGAGAGCUAUGCUUUGAGACAUUUCUUUGAGGAUAUUGAGCCAUUGAGUUCUGAGAUCUCUAAUUUGCUAUCACUUUCCCAUCCUAAUAUAGUGCAGUACCUCUGCGGGUUCUAUGAUGAGGAAAAGAAAGAAUGUUUUCUUGUAAUGGAGUUAAUGAGCAAAGAUCUCUAUGCAUACAUGAAGGAGAACAGCAGUUCAAGGAGGCAGGUUUUGUUCUCUCUUCCUAUUGUUGUUGAUGUCAUGCUUCAGGUUGCAAGAGGCAUGGAAUUUCUUCACUCAAGAAAGAUUUAUGUUGGAGAUUUGAAUCCUACUAAUAUCUUCCUCAAACCAAGAAAAUCCACUGAAGGUUAUUUUCAUGUGAAAGUCUCAGGAUUUGGUUUAACUUCCAUAGAAAAUAAUCCUUCUCGACACGCAUCAUCGAACCAAAGUGCAUUCGACCCUGGUAUUUGGCAUGCACCAGAAGUGCUGGCAGAAAAUGAACAGACAGGAACUAGCCCCAUUCGCAAGUACUCAGAGAAAGCUGAUGUUUACAGCU
rnacentral:misc_RNA from 1 species